rnacentral:rRNA from 1 species
UGGGGAAUAUUGGACAAUGGGCGCAAGCCUGAUCCAGCCAUGCCGCGUGAGUGAUGAAGGCCUUAGGGUUGUAAAGCUCUUUUAGUGGGGAAGAUAAUGACGGUACCCACAGAAAAAGCCCCGGCUAACUUCGUGCCAGCAGCCGCGGUAAUACGAAGGGGGCUAGCGUUGUUCGGAUUUACUGGGCGUAAAGCGCACGUAGGCGGAUUGUUAAGUCAGGGGUGAAAUCCUGGAGCUCAACUCCAGAACUGCCUUUGAUACUGGCAAUCUCGAGUCCGGAAGAGGAGAGUGGAAUUCCACGUGUAGCGGUGAAAUGCGUAGAGAUGUGGAGGAACACCAGUGGCGAAGGCGACUCUCUGGUCUGUAACUGACGCUGAGGAGCGAAAGCGUGGGGAGCGAACA